AUACGUACCUGGCAGGGGAGAUGAGAUACCAUGAUCAAGAAGGUAGUUUCCCCUGAGUGAGGCUCACCUAUUGUACUCCGUUGUGCUGACCCCUGUGAUUUCCCCAAAUGUGGGAAACUUGCCUGCAUAAUUUGUGGUAGUGAGGGGGAAAAAAGCAACUAU